UACGUAGGGUGCGAGCGUUAAUCGGAAUUACUGGGCGUAAAGCGUGCGCAGGCGGCUAUGUAAGACAGAUGUGAAAUCCCCGGGCUUAACCUGGGAACUGCAUUUGUGACUGCAUAGCUGGAGUGCGGCAGAGGGGAAUGGAAUUCCGCGUGUAGCAGUGAAAUGCGUAGAUAUGCGGAGGAACACCGAUGGCGAAGGCAGUUCCCUGGGCCUGCACUGACGCUCAUGCACGAAAGCGUGGGGAGCAAACAGG
rnacentral:rRNA from 1 species